GAGAGAUCCGGCAUAGGAUGGACAUGCGUCGCAUUAGGUAGACGGCGGGGUAACGGCCCACCGUGCCGACGAUGCGUAGGGGUUCUGAGAGGAAGGCCCCCCACACUGGUACUGAGACACGGACCAGACUCCUACGGGAGGCAGCAGUGAGGAAUAUUGGUCAAUGGCCGAGAGGCUGAACCAGCCAAGUCGCGUGAGGGAAGAAUGUCCUAAGGAUUGUAAACCUCUUUUGUCGGGGAGCAAAAAGGCUCUGCGGAGUCGUAUUGAGAGUACCCGAAGAAAAAGCAUCGGCUAACUCCGUGCCAGCAGCCGCGGUAAUACGGAGGAUGCGAGCGUUAUCCGGAUUUAUUGGGUUUAAAGGGUGCGCAGGCGGCGUGUCAAGCAAGCGGUAAAAUAGCGGGGCUCAACCCCGUCGAGCCGUUUGAACUGGCGCGCUUGAGUUCAGGCGAGGUAGGCGGAAUUCGUGGUGUAGCGGUGAAAUGCAUAGAUAUCACGAAGAACUCCGAUUGCGAAGGCAGCUUACCAGUCUGCGACUGACGCUCAGGCACGAAAGUGUGGGUAUCGAACAGGAUUAGAUACCCUGGUAGUCCACACAGUA
rnacentral:rRNA from 1 species